rnacentral:rRNA from 1 species
CGGGGAAGUACGGGGGGGGUGGGCGUGGGCCGGGUUCAUGGGGGGUAAAGGGCGCGUAGGGGGCCACUGUAAGGCCGGGGGGAAAGCCCGGGGUGCAACCCCGGAUCGGCCGCGGGGACUGCAGGGCUUGGGCACCGUAGAGGCAGAUGGAAGUCCGGGUGGAGCGGUGGAAUGCGUAGAGAUCCGGAAGAACACCGGUGGCGAAGGCGGUCUGCUGGGCGGUGGGCCCGCAAGGGUCCAAUAGCCGACACUGAGGCGCGACAGCGUGGGGAGCAAACAGGAUUAGAUACCCUGGUAGUC